AGGCAGAGACGGGUAGGGGGCGUGAGAGCGCGGACCCCCACACUGGCACUGAGAUACGGGCCAGACUCCUACGGGAGGCAGCAGUAAGGGAUAUUGCGCAAUGGACGAAAGUCAGACGCAGCGACGCCGCGUGGGCGAUGAAGGCCUUCGGGUUGUAAAGCCCUUUUAUGGGGGAAGAGAAAAAGGACGGUACCCCAGGAAUAAGUCCCGGCUAACUACGUGCCAGCAGCCGCGGUAAAACGUAGGGGACAAGCGUUAUCCGGAUUCACUGGGCGUAAAGAGCGUUGAGGCGGUUCCGUAAGUUGGGCGUGAAAGCUCCGGGCUUAACUCGGAGAUGUCGUUCAAUACUGCGGGGCUUGAGGACAGCAGAGGAAGGUGGAAUUCCCGGUGUAGUGGUGAAAUGCGUAGAUAUCGGGAGGAACACUCGUGGCGAAGGCGGCCUUCUGGGCUGUUCCUGACGCUGAAGGCGAAAGCUAGGUGAGCGAACGGGAUUAGAUACCCCGGUAGUCCUAGCUGUAAACGAUGGAUGCUGGGUGUGGGGGGUGUAAAUUCCCUCUGUGCCGAAGCAAACGCGUUAAGCAUCCCGCCUGGGGACUACGGCCGCAAGGCUAAAACUCAAACGAAUUGACGGGGGCCCGCACAAGCAGCGGAGCGUGUGGUUUAAUUCGAUGCUACACGAAGAACCUUACCUGGGUUUGACAUGCACGUGGUAGGGAACCGAAAGGGGACCGACCUUCGGGAGCGUGCACAGGUGCUGCAUGGCUGUCGUCAGCUCGUGCCGUGAGGUGUCGGGUUAAGUCCCGUAACGAGCGCAACCCUUGCCCUUAGUUACAAGUGUCUAAGGGGACUGCCCGGGACAACUGGGAGGAAGGUGGGGAUGACGUCAAGUCAGCAUGGCCUUUAUAUCCAGGGCUACACACACGCUACAAUGGCCGGUACAAUAGGUUGCGAAGUCGUGAGGCGGAGCCAAUCCUCAAAGCCGGUCUCAGUUCGAAUUGCAGUCUGCAACUCGACUGCAUGAAGCUGGAGUUGCUAGUAAUCGCAGGUCAGCUAUACUGCGGUGAUACGUUCCCGGGCCUUGUACACACCGCCCGUCACGUCAUGGAAGCUGGCAACGCCUGAAGCCGGUGAGCUAACCCGAAAGGGAGGCA
rnacentral:rRNA from 1 species